AGGAGGCCGAGCUGGCCGGUCCGCAGUGAGCACUAGCCCCCGCCGAGUUCAGGCGGAAGGUCUCGGGUAACCCGCCAACGCUCGGCACACAAACCCCGGCCUCCAAUGAGUAAGGAAGGCAGGAAGGUCGGCGUUCUCGGCCGCCCCGCGGGUGGGAGUCCACGCCCUGCCUGGAUUUCCUCUCCUCUGGCUCAGCCCUUUGACAGGCGCAUUUUGCUCGUUAAUUGAACAUUAACUGACCUCCUAGAGUUCUGUUUCAAAUCACCGGGAGAGUCAGUUCUCACUUCACCUAAGAGGUGAUUGCUAUGUGCUGAGAAUGGCUGGGAGAACGUCUAUCAACAGCUCUCAAGGAUGAAGGUUGACCUGGGACUCUAGCUCAGGGUCUUUCGUUGGCCAUGUCUGAAGGGACUGGAUGCCAAAGGAGAGA